rnacentral:rRNA from 1 species
CCUACGGGUGGCAGCAGUGAGGAAUAUUGGUCAAUGGACGAGAGUCUGAACCAGCCAAGUAGCGUGAAGGAUGACUGCCCUAUGGGUUGUAAACUUCUUUUAUAAAGGAAUAAAACGAGGCACGUGUGCCUUUUUGCAUGUACUUUAUGAAUAAGGAUCGGCUAACUCCGUGCCAGCAGCCGCGGUAAUACGGAGGAUCCGAGCGUUAUCCGGAUUUAUUGGGUUUAAAGGGAGCGUAGAUGGGUUGUUAAGUCAGCGGUAAAAAUUCGGGGCUCAACCCCGUCCGGCCGUUGAAACUGGGGGCCUUGAGUGGGCGAGAAGAAGGCGGAAUGCGUGGUGUAGCGGUGAAAUGCAUAGAUAUCACGAAGAACCCCGAUUGCGAAGGCAGCUUACUAAACUGUGACUGACAUUGAUGCUCGAAAGUGUGGGUAUCAAACAGGAUUAGAUACCCUAGUAGUC